ensembl:lncRNA
CCAAGUGCGACGCAGCGGCGGCGCGCACAGGCUUUUUUCUGCUUUUUCUGACAAUUGGCGAUCUCCCCCUCCUCCCUACACUAGACCCGAGCACCGAUUCUUGCCCAGCCUGGAGCAAGACCGCAGGAUGAGGGCAGAGGGACGGCUGUGAACGCGUGUGGGGGCGGGGUUGAGGGUAGGUGCGUGGGCUGGGGCCGUGCACACGCGGGGCCCCAGUGUGUGUGAGGCUGCGAGUAUCUGCGAACGCGCUUGCACAUCCAUCCACGGCGCUCGCAUCCAUCCUGCCUGGUUCCGUUCACCGCUCUGUAUAAGCCCCAACGGAGCAUCCCUCCAACACCUCCGGGGCCCCGAAGGAUGCGCUUGAGGAGCUCCGAGUGCUCACUCUCGGCGAAGCGCCGGGGCAAAGCGGCGCGUAAACGCACCCAGUUCUUGUGAAGUUAAAAUACAGCGCGAACUCUUCAAUGCUAGAGUGGAUUCAAUGUUAAUUCUCCAAAAAAGAUUUUUAAAAGCGUAAUUGUGUAUUAAUUAAUGGGCUGUAGGGGGUUGUUUAUUCAACCAAUGCAGCCCUUGUUCAGUUGCCUUCUUAUGCUACAAGAUAGAAAGAUCCCUUGGGGCUUCCUGGUAAUGAAUGACCUGGGAGUAACACCGCCACAACCUGCGGGGAAAAGGAGAGUCAUUUACCCGAUCCUGAGAUCUGCAGGAUUGAAAUGAAAUGUUUUGAGGUCUUCAAGCUGACUCAUCAGAAUAAUCCUGGAACAUUUUUAAAAUGACGGAAAUGAAAGGAAAUGACUUAAAAACAAUUUUAAAUAUAGGAAGAAAUCACCAAGGGAAGAAGAUGAUGGAAUCUUAUUUACUUACUAAAGCAGAAGAGAAAAACAAAACAAAACAAAACAAAAGAAAACCUCAAUAUCUAAGGGACAGCAGAAGCAGGAAGCGCUUCUGGAGCAGAGCUGUCAUCCUUUCCUGGAAGCUGCUGCUCAGUAGCCUGUCUCCACCGAAACUGCUAAUGGUGACAACACAGGCAGAUUCUGGAAGGGGAACUCAAGGAUUCACAGGUAUGUAACUGGACGAGCAGUGGUCGUAGAACAAAUUAUGUCCUCUGUCCAUACAAAAUCUGUAAGUAUAAAAUGCUCACUCUUGUAGUUCUCUGGAUGGUUUUUUCUUGCUAAAAUUUCAUUGUUUGAUUUUAUCAGUAUGCCUGUCUCCCACGCUUGCUUAUUUAUUUGCUUACUAACUACAUACAUUCAUUUACUCACAUAUUAAAAAAAUAUUAAUAUGAAAUGAACUCCUUUAUGUUUGGGACAUUGUGCUAAAUACUUAUAAAGUCCUGGAUAAAAAUGUUUUCGUAUGAAAAGUGGAACUGUGAUAUGGUUAGUCUCAAUACCUAGUUUGAGAAUGACUAGUCCUUUCUGGAUUACAGCUGUAUAUAGGAAAGGGGAAAUGGAUGAUUGUGAAGACAGAUGUACAAAUCUCAUUAGGUUUCGAAGCAGAGACACAAACUGGAUUAAUUCAGUGAGGUGCUACAUAUGUGAUAGUCAUAAUGAUGACAGAGAAAAUGUUACAUGUUGUUGCCUAUAUUCCUCUUAAUAAGACAGAUAUUUUAAUACAUUUCGGAAUUAUUUCAGCACAGUAGUCCUUUAUGUGGAGUUAAUAACAAAUUGCAUUAUUAAUAACAAUUGUUCACAUUGAUAUAUUUAAGUAGUUUGUGAAAUUUUUAAGGUUCUUUUGUAAAUAAAAUUACUUUGUAGGGAUGACUUUAUUUUUAA